rnacentral:rRNA from 1 species
ACAUGCCUACAACAUAGCGUUAAUGCACUGGAUCCCAUUAUAAAUCCGUAGUUAAGCGCACUCAGGAUAGAGUAGUACUGGGAAGGGUGAUCGCCUGAGAAUUCCUACAGUUUUACAUGCC